rnacentral:lncRNA from 1 species
AUUUACUUAUGCUAAUGUUUCUUUGUCAUUUUGUAGAUUUUGACUCUUACAAAUGGAAAUGGAAGAAAUCUUGGAUUCUUUUUCUUAGCACUCCUGCCAUGCUCUCAUUGCCUUCCUUCUGUUGAGUGAUUUGAAGCCCUUUUCUCUCCCUCCCUUCUAUGACACAGGUAGCAUGAAGGGCUUGCAGUGGAGGCUGCACAUUUAGCCAUCAACUUCGAAUGCAUCCUGCUGCCUCAGCAUUCCUUUGCCUCUCACUCCUCUACAGCUGCUUUACCUGAUGGCUUGGACUCAGCAUUUGAAAUGCAGGGUUUUUUUUAUUUAUAACCCUCUCUGGAAAAUAUAGUAAUGUCCGUUGGAAACUGGAUCAGCUCAUGCUCCUCUGUAAGAACUCUUGAACAUUUCCCUUUUGGACUCAAUUGAUGUCACAGGUUUAUGUGGUGUAAAUGAUACAGUCAUUAUCCAGAUGGUCUAAGAUGGGAACAGCUUCUGGGAGAUCCUUUGAUAUGAAACUCCGUAGAGUUCACUACUUCAGAGAGACGUUGGUGAAGCAGAAGUGCCUGUUUAUGUGGCAAUAG